rfam:Pteropus alecto contig92465, whole genome shotgun sequence.
GUCUACAGCCAUGCCACCCUGAACAAGCCCCAUCCCAUCCGAUCUCGGAAGCUAAGCAGGGUCGGGCCUGGUUAGUACUUGGAUAGGAGACCACCUAGGAAGACCAGGUGCUGUAGGCA